GGCUGGAAAGAUGGCUCAGUGGUUAAGAGCACUGACUACUCUUCUAGAGGUCCUGAGUUCAAUUCCCAGCAACCA
rnacentral:tRNA from 1 species